rnacentral:rRNA from 1 species
GAUGAACGCUAGCGACAGGCUUAACACAUGCAAGUCGAGGGGCAGCGAGGGCGUAGCAAUACGCCUGUCGGCGACCGGCGCACUGGUGAGUAACACGUAUGCGACCUGCCCCCUACAGGGGUAUAACCCGUAGAAAUGCGGACUAAUCCCCCAUAGUCCUGGGUGUUGCAUGGCAUUCAGGGGAAAGGUCAGCCGGUAGGGGAUGGGCAUGCGGCGCAUUAGCUAGUUGGCGGGGCAACGGCCCACCAAGGCGACGAUGCGUAGGGGUUCUGAGAGGAAGGUCCCCCACACUGGUACUGAGACACGGACCAGACUCCUACGGGAGGCAGCAGUGAGGAAUAUUGGUCAAUGGGCGCAGGCCUGAACCAGCCAAGUCGCGUGAGGGAAGACGGUCCUACGGGAUUGGUAAACCUCUUUUUGUCGGGGAGUAACGUGCGGGACGCGUCCCGUAUUGAGAGUACCCGAAGAAAAGCAUCGGCUAACUACGUGCCAGCAGCCG